rnacentral:lncRNA from 1 species
CGAUGCCCAGAUGCAGGUAGUUCAUACACCAACCAUCCAAAUGAGGACUGGAGAGGACCUGCCCCUUCCCCCUCCCUCAGCCCUAGAGGGUCUGCCGCCACCGCCCCCCAAAGAAUCUUUCUCCAAGUUCCAGCAGCAGCGGCAAGCCAACGAGCUUCGCCGUCUCUACAAACACAUCCACCCUGAGCUUCGGAAGAACCUCGAGGAGGCUGUAGCCGAGGACCUGGCCAAGGUACUCGGUUCGGAGGAGCC